UCCCAGGGGAUACAGUAGCUUAC
rnacentral:piRNA from 1 species